rnacentral:rRNA from 1 species
UACGUAGGGCGCAAGCGUUGUCCGGAAUUAUUGGGCGUAAAGAGUUCGUAGGCGGUCUGUCGCGUCCGCUGUGAAAGCCCAGGGCUCAACCCUGGGUCUGCAGUGGAUACGGGCAGACUAGAGUCAGGUAGGGGAGAUCGGGAUUCCUGGUGUAGCGGUGAAAUGCGCAGAUAUCAGGAGGAACACCGGUGGCGAAGGCGGAUCUCUGGGCCUUACCUGACGCUCAGGCACGAAAGCUAGGGGAGCGAACAGG